GGUUAAGUUAGAAAGGGCGCACGGUGAAUGCCUUGGCACUAGGAGCCGAUGAAGGACGGGACUAACACCGAUAUGCUUCGGGGAGCUGUAAGUGAGCUUUGAUCCGGAGAUUUCCGAAUGGGGAAACCCACUGUUCGUAAUGGAACAGUAUCUUUAUCUGAAUACAUAGGAUAUUGAAGGCAGACCCGGGGAACUGAAACAUCUAAGUACCCGGAGGAAGAGAAAGCAAAUGCGAUUUCCUGAGUAGCGGCGAGCGAAACGGAAUUAGCCCAAACCAAGAGGCUUGCCUCUUGGGGUUGUAGGACACUCUAUACGGAGUUACAAAGGAACGAAGUAAAUGAAGCGACCUGGAAAGGUCCGUCGAAGAAGGUAACAACCCUGUAGUUGAAACUUCGUUCCCUCUUGAGUGGAUCCUGAGUACGGCGGAACACGUGAAAUUCCGUCGGAAGCUGGGAGGACCAUCUCCCAAGGCUAAAUACUACCUAGUGACCGAUAGUGAACCAGUACCGUGAGGGAAAGGUGAAAAGCACCCCGGAAGGGGAGUGAAAGAGAUCCUGAAACCGUGUGCCUACAAGUAGUCAGAGCCCGUUAACGGGUGAUGGCGUGCCUUUUGUAGAAUGAACCGGCGAGUUACGAUCCCAUGCAAGGUUAAGCUGAUAAGGCGGAGCCGUAGCGAAAGCGAGUCUGAAUAGGGCGUUUAGUAUGUGGUUGUAGACCCGAAACCAGGUGAUCUACCCAUGUCCAGGGUGAAGUUCAGGUAACACUGAAUGGAGGCCCGAACCCACGCACGUUGAAAAGUGCGGGGAUGAGGUGUGGGUAGCGGAGAAAUUCCAAUCGAACCUGGAGAUAGCUGGUUCUCUCCGAAAUAGCUUUAGGGCUAGCCUCAUGUUGUGAGAGUCUUGGAGGUAGAGCACUGAUUGGACUAGGGGCCCCCAACGGGUUACCGAAUUCAGUCAAACUCCGAAUGCCAAAGACUUAUCCAUGGGAGUCAGACUGCGAGUGAUAAGAUCCGUAGUCAAAAGGGAAACAGCCCAGACCACCAGCUAAGGUCCCCAAGUAUACGUUAAGUGGAAAAGGAUGUGGAGUUGCUUAGACAACCAGGAUGUUGGCUUAGAAGCAGCCACCAUUUAAAGAGUGCGUAAUAGCUCACUGGUCGAGUGACUCUGCGCCGAAAAUGUACCGGGGCUAAACGUAUCACCGAAGCUGUGGAUUGACAUCUUUGAUGUCAGUGGUAGGAGAGCGUUCUAAGUGCUGUGAAGUCAGACCGUAAGGACUGGUGGAGCGCUUAGAAGUGAGAAUGCCGGUAUGAGUAGCGAAAGACAAGUGAGAAUCUUGUCCACCGAAUGCCUAAGGUUUCCUGAGGAAGGCUCGUCCGCUCAGGGUUAGUCGGGACCUAAGCCGAGGCUGAAAAGCGUAGGCGAUGGCCAACAGGUUGAUAUUCCUGUACCACCUCCCCGCCGUUUGAGUAAUGGGGGGACGCAGUAGGAUAGGGUAAGCGCGCUGCUGGAUAUGCGCGUUCAAGCAGUUAGGCUGAUGAGUAGGCAAAUCCGCUCAUCAUAAAGGCUGAGCUGUGAUGACGAGGGAAUUAUAGUACCGAAGUUCCUGAUUCCACACUGCCAAGAAAAGCCUCUAGCGAGGCGGGAGGUGCCCGUACCGCAAACCGACACAGGUAGGCGAGGAGAGAAUCCUAAGGUGAUCGAGAGAACUCUCGUUAAGGAACUCGGCAAAAUGACCCCGUAACUUCGGGAGAAGGGGUGCUCUGGUAGGGUGUAUAGCCCGAGAGAGCCGCAGUGAAUAGGCCCAGGCGACUGUUUAGCAAAAACACAGGUCUCUGCGAAGCCGCAAGGCGAAGUAUAGGGGCUGACGCCUGCCCGGUGCUGGAAGGUUAAGAGGAGGGGUUAUCCUUUGGGAGAAGCUCUGAAUCGAAGCCCCAGUAAACGGCGGCCGUAACUAUAACGGUCCUAAGGUAGCGAAAUUCCUUGUCGGGUAAGUUCCGACCCGCACGAAAGGCGUAACGAUCUGGGCACUGUCUCAACGAGAGACUCGGUGAAAUUAUAGUACCUGUGAAGAUGCAGGUUACCCGCGACAGGACGGAAAGACCCCGUGGAGCUUUACUGUAGCCUGAUAUUGAAUUUUGGUACAGCUUGUACAGGAUAGGUAGGAGCCUGAGAAGCCGGAGCGCUAGCUUCGGUGGAGGCGUCGGUGGGAUACUACCCUGGCUGUAUUGAAAUUCUAACCCGCGGCCCUGAUCGGGCCGGGAGACAGUGUCAGGUGGGCAGUUUGACUGGGGCGGUCGCCUCCUAAAAUGUAACGGAGGCGCCCAAAGGUUCCCUCAGAAUGGUUGGAAAUCAUUCGUAGAGUGUAAAGGCACAAGGGAGCUUGACUGCGAGACCUACAAGUCGAGCAGGGACGAAAGUCGGGCUUAGUGAUCCGGUGGUUCCGCAUGGAAGGGCCAUCGCUCAACGGAUAAAAGCUACCCCGGGGAUAACAGGCUUAUCUCCCCCAAGAGUCCACAUCGACGGGGAGGUUUGGCACCUCGAUGUCGGCUCAUCGCAUCCUGGGGCUGUAGUCGGUCCCAAGGGUUGGGCUGUUCGCCCAUUAAAGCGGUACGCGAGCUGGGUUCAGAACGUCGUGAGACAGUUCGGUCCCUAUCCGUCGUGGGCGUAGGAAAUUUGAGAGGAGCUGUCCUUAGUACGAGAGGACCGGGAUGGACACACCGCUGGUGUACCAGUUGUCUUGCCAAAGGCAUCGCUGGGUAGCUAUGUGUGGACGGGAUAAGUGCUGAAAGCAUCUAAGCAUGAAGCCCCCCUCAAGAUGAGAUUUCCCAUAGCGCAAGCUAGUAAGAUCCCUGAAAGAUGAUCAGGUUGAUAGGUCAGAGGUGGAAGCAUGGCGACAUGUGUAGCUGACUGAUACUAAUCGAUCGAGGACUUAACCAA
rnacentral:rRNA from 1 species